UACGGGGGGGGCAAGCGUUGUUCGGAAUUACUGGGCGUAAAGGGCUCGUAGGCGGCCAACUAAGUCCGACGUGAAAUCCCAAGGCUUAACCUUGGAACUGCGUCGGAUACUGGAUGGCUUGAAUUCGGGAGAGGGAUGCAGAAUUCCAGGUGUAGCGGUGAAAUGCGCAGAUAUCAGGAGGAACACCGGUGGCGAAGGCGGGUCUCUGGGCCGAUAUCGACGCUGAGGAGCGAAAGCGUGGGGAGCGAACAGG
rnacentral:rRNA from 1 species